UCUCCACCGCCGGCUGCUCCUGGCGUCUGCGACCUCUCUACCCCUACCCCCCAAUCCGGACACAAAGCCUAAGGACCCCCGAGGGGAAACAUCUGGCGCGACCACUGUAGACUCGUGAUGUCUUGAGAAAUUCCCAAAGCUGUGGCAAUUCUGGGUACCAAUUUCCACAUGGCCAACAAUUCGGUGGAGCCAAAUAGCAGCAGGACCUUUCGGAUGUGGCAAGUACUUUGGUUUGCCAUAGUCCCCACUGUUCCCUAUUGCCUUGCAUGUGACUCACUCAGCUCAGUUUUGCUCAUUUACAUCACUUGCCUCUGUGGAUGCAAAAGGGGCCACACACUAAACCUGACAAGCUCAAGGGAGGCCUGCACGCUGGCCUUACACACUCAGAGACCAAAAGGAAAUACAUAGGGUGGUCUGAACGUAAAACUUCCUAACUAAAAAUGGUUCAGGCUGGGUAGUCCCAUCCUAGGCCUGUAUAGUCCUUGACGAAGGUCAGCCUUGACCAUAAGUGAGCCUGUCUGCUGUCUUUUUGCAUCUAAGAUCACACAUACCUGUGACAUCUUUUCCAGACUCCCGAGGGCUCCUGCACAUCACCAUAGCUGGAGACCACAGAACGUGUCAUUGUUAUCUUUCUCCUUGAAUGCCAUCUCUGUGGGCUGUGACUGUUAAUUACUAACCAUCCUGUCCCCACGGAUGUCAAAGAGGCAUUUGUCUCUCCGUUAUACUCUUUAUUCAGUCCCAGAGUUUUUUUCCUUGGCUUUCUCCCACCUCCUUAAUCUGCCACCAGCAAAGUUCAUGUCACCCUCCUGCCAUCUGCUCCUUUGAUUCCAGGGCAUAAAAUAAGCUGUGAAACUGCCCUUCUCAGUCCUUUGAGAUUUGCUUCCAGGGAAUGGUCAUCGAUUUGGCUCAGAUACUCUCUCAGGAGAUGUUUUCCCUUUGGCUGGAUCUUCUAACUUCAACGUUUAGUUGGCGUGGUCAGGAUUCCAAUGAGGCUCACUCAGGACCACCCUGUGGGCUGGGGGAUGGUGCUGGGUGCGAACAGCAGCCCGUGGUGCCUUAGUCACUCCCCAGUUUGUGCCAGCUGAACUUGCGUGAGUUUUUCUUAGAAUUCUGGACAUCCUUGUUUGAAGGUAGGAGGCCCUGACUUUAUUUAAGCUGUUCUUUAAAAAAAAAAAAUCCCCCAGGUGGCACUAAAGAUUAAGGGUUGAGAUGACUCCGGGAUGGGGGCAGGGGAGCAGGUGGCUAGGUUUUUAAUUUUGGCUAUUCAAUUGGAUCUAUUUGCCGUGAAUAGUUUGCUGGGUAAAUGAGACUCUGAACCCAUUUGGCUUCGAAAAUAAGGGCCAUCUACUUCGUCCAGGUGGGAUUGCAGGGAUUCUUAGGUGGCUAAGAAUCUGCAUGGAGAUGUUCGAAAGUAUCCCUCCAAACAGGCCGGGCCCCACAGGCAGUCCCCACACAAUCUAAUUCCUGUGGGGACGUGUACAUCAAGGCUGGCCGCCCUGUGCUCCGAGUCCUCACACUGUGUUAGACAGCCCGGGAGAGAAACCGAGGCACACACACACCAGAGGGCUGGCGCGACGGAGACCUGACGGCCCCUCGGAGCACGGCACGUAAGCAGCAUGCUCCCACCCACUGCACACCGUCCCCGGGACUGUGUUCAGACUCUGCGGAUCUCAGAAGGAAACUAAAAUUAACAUGGGACAAUUGUGACUGCAGGGGCCCAAAGCCCCGGCCCUUGGUGCCCACAGACCCCUGGAGAUAAAUAAUUUGUAGGAGGCCUGUGCUUGCAAAUGAGGCAGGAGAGUAAGUAGUUAGGACAAUUCCUUGGCUAGUGGGACGGGGAAACUGAGACAGAGCUGAACACACUGGCUGAGCAAUUUGCAGCCAGUGCAGGUGGUCCCCGGGGCAGAAGGCCCAAGGGCCCGGCGGGGGCAAAGCUGGGAGGCCGAGGACCUCACGCCCAGGGUAACUUCUCCCGCCCUGGCCUUCCCGCCCUGGAGAUGGUGUCUAGGCCUCAGUUGUGUUUCAGCUCCAGGCCCAGAAAAGCGGCGAAACCAGACAAGGGAUGCCACACCAGCCUUGGGACCAGGACCGUGAGAGGACACACCUGGAAAGCUGGGAGGUAACGCAGCCCUGCCCAGGCUCAGAGCGUUUCCAGAGAGCCAGGGCAGCCCUGCCUAGGCCCUCCUGCUACUUCUGUGUUAUGCCCACCCUUGUUUUAUGGAACCGGCUUUAAUAAAUGCACCGUCAUAGUCACCUGGACUCGAGCUGUGACAUCGUUCCUGCCCGAAGGAGGCGUGAGAGCAAGGUGGGUUCACACACCACCAGCGGGUCCUGGGCAGACCCCCAGGUGCACCGUCCAGUAACACAACUUACAGCAACGGGAAGAUUUAACUAGAAGUG